GUCAUCUCUUCCCAUAAGAACUACCACAUCACCCUACACCAUCCUCUGGUUGAUAUAAUGCCUGGUCCCAGAGUGAACAAGGCUAUGGUUUGUAGCACGAGUAAUAAAGGAGGGGAGGAAUAACCUGCCCAGCCACAAAACAGGACAAUGCCCAGGAGCCUGGAGGGGUGACAAGGACACUGAAUAGACACCCUGCAUUUGAGACUCACCUCUAAUCUUUCAUCCGCUGAGUGGGCAACCUUGGAUAACGGAGCAGCUUCUCCACAGGAGGAUAGCGGCUCAGGGACGGCACGCAACCCAGCAACACCAGCUUGUGUUUGGCUCUUGUGAUGGCAACAUUAAGGCGCCUCCAAUCCUUCAAAAGCUCGCCGAGCUGUAACAACAAAGACAAUCGCAUAGUCAAUCUUAGCUUUUCAGAAUUCGGUGAAAUGUAGAGUUUG